AGAACACCUAAUGUUUACAUAAAAAUAAUAAUAAAAAGAAACACUUUGGUCUUUAAAGCCCCCACAGCUUCAGUGCUUACAAAAGCUAAAGCCAAAAAAAGUAGUCACUGCUUUUAACAAUGGUUGUUAAAAAAAAAUUAGAAAACUGAAAACUACCCUAACAAAACACCUAAUUUCCCAGUUAGUAACUGCUGUGUAAAUGCUGAGGCCACCACUUUGUAAAAUAUACAUUUUAAUCUCAUCACUGCUGUGAACAAUUACAUUAUUGGCCUGCAAAUAAAGUCCUACAAUUAAAUCUUAGGUUUCAAAUACCUUUUAAUUAAACUACCUUAAUACCAAACCAAUUCCAAAACCUACACUCACUCCUACCAAAGGUUAAAAAAAAUCUCUAAAUUACAAGGCCAAAUCUAUGGGCUUCAAAAUAUAUAUCAAAUUAAAAAACAUGCCUUUCAUAAGUCUAUAAAGCAUUUAUUUUAUGGACUAAUUAUAAUGUAUUGUGCUAUGUAACUAAGGCUACAAAAUAACCCCAGCAUACUAUUACAACAACAACAUUGUUUUUUAUUGUUUCUGUUUAAUUUAAAAAUGUUGUUAUAAAAAAACAAAAAUACCUUUCAUGUUCAUACUAAUUAUGCAUUAUUGUUACAUCCAACCAAAAGUUAUGGGCUAAUCCUGAUCCUUUUAAUCUAAAAUCAAACAUACAAGGACUAAAAAAUAAAAAGUUUAAAAAUGAUGGUUGUGCUAAAAGCACUAAAGGGGGGGGGGGAGUGUGAAA